rnacentral:rRNA from 1 species
UACGUAGGGUGCAAGCGUUGUCCGGAAUUAUUGGGCGUAAAGAGCGUGUAGGCGGCCCGAUUAGUCCGCUGUGAAAGUCCAGGGCUCAACCCUGGAAUGCCGGUGGAUACUGUCGGGCUAGAGUCCGGAAGGGGCGAGUGGAAUUCCUGGUGUAGCGGUGAAAUGCGCAGAUAUCAGGAGGAACACCAAUGGCGAAGGCAGCUCGCUGGGAUGUGACUGACGCUGAGACGCGAAAGCGUGGGGAGCAAACAGG